GUUACAUGGUUAAAUUCUAAAUUUUAUAUUAAAACAAAGCUAGCACUAUAUGGUUCGUGCUUUCUAACCACAUGCAAUGCAACUGUUUUAUUGUUAAGCAUUACUGAAAAAGUGAGCAGUUACUAAAGUUUCCCUUCUCACUAUUUUUACUAGCGUACCAUGGAAGAGCUUGCUCAAGGCAUCAAAGCUAUAGUAGAAAAUUAAGGCCACCCAACCUUAUUCUCUCU